GGGUGGUUGGCGCAAUGGUAGCGCGUGAGUACUUUCCUUCUCUUCACAGGAUCAACCUAUUGCUAACCCAUUACAGGUUGGUUUUCGGAAUGGAAUCACCAAAGGUUGAGGGUUCGAGCCCCUUGCUGCUCG
rnacentral:tRNA from 1 species